CAAACUNAAGAUGGCGACCGGCGCACGGGUGAGUAACACGUAUCCAACCUGCCGAUAACUCCGGAAUAGCCUUUCGAAAGAAAGAUUAAUACCGGAUGGCAUACGAAUAUCGCAUGAUAUUUUUAUUUAAAGAAUUUCGGUUAUCGAUGGGGAUGCGUUCCAUUAGUUUGUUGGCGGGGUAACGGCCCACCAAGACUACGAUGGAUAGGGGUUCUGAGAGGAAGGUCCCCCACAUUGGAACUGAGACACGGUCCAAACUCCUACGGGAGGCAGCAUG
rnacentral:rRNA from 1 species